GGCUCCUCGAUUUACAUACAUGAGGAGUCGUACCUGCCCAGUGAAUUUUUUUAACGGCCGCGGUACUCUGACCGUGCAAAGGUAGCAUAAUCAUUUGCCUUAUAAUUGAAGGCUAGUAUGAAUGGUUUGACGAGAAUAAAGCUGUCUCUUUUUAAUUGGGUAUAAUUUUAUCUAUAGGUGAAGAAGCCUAUAUUAUAUUGAAAGACAAGAAGACCCUAUCGAGCUUUAAAUAAUUUAGGAGAUUAACUACAUAUUUAUUAAAAAAAUUAGACUCUUAAGAAUUUUGGUUGGGGCGACUGAGGAACAAAUAAAGCUUCCUUUAAAUCAGGGAGACAGAUAAGUUUUGACCCGGAACUUCCGGUUAAAAGAAUUAGUUACCGUAGGGAUAACAGCAUAAUCCUCUUUGAGAGUUCUUAUCGAAAGGGGGGCUUGUGACCUCGAUGUUGGACCAGAAUACCCAGAAGAUGCAGCCGUCUUCAAUGGUUGGUCUGUUCGACCAUUAAAAUUCUACGUGAUCUGAGUUCAGACCGGCGUGAGCCAGGUCAGUUUCUAUCUUCAAUUUUUAAAAUAACCUUAGUACGAAAGGACCAGGAUAUUGCAAAAUAUGUGUUGCAUAAUGAUUAAAUAUAAAGAACGUGUGACUUACCAGCUAAAUCAAAUUAGCAAAGUUAAUGCAAUUGACUUAGGAUCAAUAGACAUAGGUGAAACCCCUUUAUUUGAUACCCCUUAAAUCCCUCAUAAAGGUGGCAGAAGAA
rnacentral:rRNA from 1 species